rnacentral:lncRNA from 1 species
CUUCGGCCGCCCCUCAACUCCUCUCCUUCCCCCCCCUCCGCCUCCUCGUCUCCCUCCCGCUCCUGGGAAAGCGGAUCCGUCGCUUUAAGGGUGGCUGAGAGAAGCGGCGUCUCGGGGAGGGGACCGCGCCCGCCCCCUUGGAACCACGGAGCGUGGCCGAUACAGGGUUUUAUGCUGGCCUCUAACUUGAUAGAGGAGGAAGACCUUGAACUUAUGAUCCUGCCUAUACCUCCCAAGUGCUGGGCCUACAGGUAUUUUCCACCGGGGCUUUGUGUUUCUAGGCACACUCUAUCACCUCAGCUAUGUCCCCAUCUCUUUGUUUUUAUUUAGCCAAUAUCAGACUAAAGAAACUAUCUGUGUGAAAGCCCCCAGGUUCUCCACAGAUAGAAGCUCUCCAAAUCAAUCAACAUAUAAACUCACUCUGUGUUUAAUUGAAUCCAUCUGGUUAAUGCUUCUGUUUCUUAAGUUUCAAACAUGAAAUUGGGCCAGAGAGGUGUUGCUACACAGGUCUUUUAGAACCCAAGUUUGAGCUGGGCAGUGGUGGCACACGCCUUUAGUUCCCAGCACUUGGGAGGCAGAGACAGAUGGAGUUUCAGGCCACCCUGAUUUACAGAGUGAGUUCCAGGACAGCCAGGACUGUUUCACUGUGCCUUGAAAAACAAAAUCAAAACAAACAAGAACCCAAGCUUGGUGACCUGAGUUUGAUUCUGUGAUCCAUGUAAAGGUUGAAGGAGAGAACUCUAUGAAGUGUCCUCUUCUACACCCAUGCCAUGAAACAUACUUACCAUACUUACCAUACACACACAUAAUAAAUAAAAUUUAAAAACAAAAUAAAAUUUCAAAUUAUAAUUCUGAAAGGAA